ensembl:snoRNA small nucleolar RNA, H/ACA box 20
CUUCCCAUUGAUUUGCUGCUCUAGUCUUCCGGUGCUAGGAGCGGUUAUACGCAUGGGAGAGAACAACGUUAGGCCGUGGUAGAUGGAGAUGAGUGACCGUCUCAUCGCUCCUGCGCGGCCCGGACACUG